rnacentral:rRNA from 1 species
CCCUUAGAUGUUCUGGGCCGCACGCGCACUACACUGAUGCAUUCAACGAGUCUAAAACCUGCUCUGAUAGGGGUGGGUAAUCUUUUGAAUGCGCAUCGUGAUUGGGAUAGAUGAUUGCAAUUUUUCAUCUUCAACGAGGAAUGCCUAGUAAACGCAAGUCAUCAGCUUGCAUUGAUUACGUCCCUGCCCUUUGUACACACCGCCCGUCGCUCCUACCGAUUGAAUGAUCCGAUGAAUAUCAUGGAUUGAGGAUGCAAGUAGGUUCGCCUAUCUUCAUCUUCGAGAAGUGAAGUAAAUCUUAUCAUUUAGAGGAAGGAGAAGUCGUAACA